CCGGGGACGGGGAGGGACGAAGCUUGCUUCCUUGCUUGCUGCAGUGGUUUAGAGCUUUAAAGCGAGGAAGACGAUGGAGGGAGGGUGUGAAGAAGAGCACGCACCAACCCCGAGGGAGAAGAGCUACUCUACUCGUAGCAGAGAGGAGGAGGGACAGUAGUUGCAGACAACACAGGAGGAGACUCCUAUUGGAGGACUCCAAACUCCAAAGGUGGCAAUAAUUGCCCAGACGGAGAACCACCUCACCUCACCUCCCCCUCUUCCACCACUGUUCACUCUUUUAAUUUUACCAACACCUGUUGUAUACUGUAGUGGUAGAGAAGAAA